CUCUCCAGCCCUGGACUUGCUUUCUUAAAGCCCCAUUUUAGCUCCAGUCUCAGAAGCAAAGCACAUCAAAGCCCUUAGUGUGGAGGUGCUGGUUACUUUGCCUAGUGCUGAAUCCAUGAUUAAAGCCAUCAGCUGAGUGACUGAAAUGCCCCACACGGUGUCCUAGAUCUCAUUAGUAAGCCUUAGUCAUAAGGAGAAACCUGGUUAAAGGCAGAAGGUUAAAGAGACCCUGGAGGGAGGAAGCGGAGCAGCACACCGAUGCACCUGGAGUGGAUUACAGUUCUUCUCAUGCAGUUGUGUGUCUGGAAUGGAAACCCUGACAUCUAAGGCAGGACAUUUCAGAAGAACUGGGAUGGCUCUUGGCAUCAUUGGGAGAACCUGAAAGGGAAUACUAAGGGGACAGAGCUACAGAAUUUCCCAUCUGAGGAACUUGUACUUGUGGGGAAGUUGAUCAGAAACACCAGAGUCUGAAUUCUUCAGGCAGCUGAAUCUUGGUUCAAAGUAAGUUAAAAAGAAUUACAUAGAAGAGAAAUUCAACUCUGAAAUUCAAAACAUAUGUCAUUGAAUACCCUGAUGUAAACUUAGGAAAACAAAUGAAAGGACAGACUUUUUUCUAGUUAUUUGUUGACAUUCAGUCAUUCAGUCAUUCAUUUAUUUCUGGGGAGCUUCAGGCAGCUGAGGAGAUUUGUACACUGUCUUGGGUGAACAGACUACAACCAGGAACCAAGAAGCAUGUGGGGAACAUGUUGCAGGUUCAGCUUCAGAACACAUUGAGUCAUUUCAACAAAAACUGUGAUAAUUAAAGAGGAAAAAUUACAUUUAGCCCAGAUAUAAAAUGGGGAUAAGACUGAGCUCUUUUGGAAGUCAAUGCCAGAGAACACUCAGGUAAGAUAUCUGCCUACCAGGGAGGAAAAUAAACAAAGGGUGGCUGUCUGCUCCUAUGUGUGCAAAUACAGGUGUGACUCAUAAAUCAACAUCAGUUGUCACUGUAAAAGGAAAGGUGCCCAAAAGUGUGAAAGAAGACACAAGUACAUCAUCCGUGAUAUAUAAACCUGGUAAAGACGUUUGGUUCACAAGAGAAUUGUUUAGAAUGGUUCUUUCAAAAUUUUGCUCAGCAUUUCCAACUUAAUGAUCUAGGAUUUCAUGAGGAAGAUAGGGCAUUGGUACUUCUGGACAACUCUCCAGUUCACCCUUCUGCGGAACCAUCAGCCAGUGAGGAUGGUAGAAUAAGAUACACGUUCUCUCCCCCUAAUACUUCUACUUUGAGUCAACCAGUGAAUCAAGCUGUAACCUUGAGCUGCAAAGAACUUUAGAGAUGGAAACAACUUGAAGAGAGUCUUAGAAACUUUGGAGAAAGUGAGGAUGAACAGGAAAAAGAAAGAGAAGGGAAUUUCCAAGAUUAAGAUGUAGAAUGUGAAAAGUGCACUUUUUAACUGGGAUGAAGUAAAACAAUUAACAGUAGCAGACGCAUGGGAAAUCUCCUUUACAAAGAAGAAACUGUGUGACCUUCAAGGGCAAGAGCGUGGGAGCUAGAGGGAUCCUUGAGAAAGGUGCAGAAACCAAGCUGGGCAUGGAGGAUAUGGUUAAAUGAAGAUGAUGAAGAGAAAGGUUGUUUCUCCCCGCCUCUCUCCACCCUUCACCCCUGAAAACCCAAAAGGUGAGACAGUAAAGGAAGCUGUGCAAAGGACGGAGCUGGAAAUUGGACAGGAAUUUAAGUUCCACACUGGACUACAUUCUUAACUUUCCUGAUGCCAUACCUGAAUUUUAAAUACUUCAUUUCACACUAAGAGAUGCAACAAAAAUAUAGCCAAGAAAGAACUGGAGAGUAAAAUCCUUUUAAGAAUUGGUAGGUUUUUGAAAACUAGACUUCCUAAUAUUAAGGAUACUGUCAAUAUGCCUUCAACUUCUGGUUCUAGUAAUCAGACUAUGUAAAGGUAAUUGGAAUAUAUGAUACUGUUGAUACCGUUUUUAAUCAAACAUUAUUUUCAUAUCAAUGCUCACUUAUGCAUUGGCUAGAAUAUAGUUUGAAAAUAAAUGUGAAUUCCCAUAAAUGUAUGAAUAUCAUUUUCUAUUUACAAAUCAAGGAUAUGAAUAAUGAAUUAUCAUCCUAAAUUAUAUAAAUUGUAAUGGCUAUGCUAAAAACAUAGGUUUAAAUUCUACCAUGUAAUUUUGGCUAAUACACAUUAGUACUAUGCACCAAGCAAGACCUUUGUUUCAUUCUCCAGAAUUAAAAAAUAGUAACGUACGUCACAUAAAGGAGGAAGGGGCUCCUCCUAAGCCCCUAGAAGGAACUCAUAAUGAGCUAAGCUGGCCACGAACAGAUUUAUGACUGCCUACAUGGUCUUAUUACCCAUAGGGAAGUACAACCAAAGAGAAUUAAAAUAUUACAAGACGGGAGCUAGACAGUUGGCUCAGUGGUUAAGAACACUGGCUGGGGCUGGAGAGAUGGCUCAGCGGUUAAGAGCACUGACUGCUUUUCCAGAGGUCCUGAGUUCAAUUCCCAGCAACCACAUGGUGGUUCACAACCAUCUGUAAUGAGGUCUGAUGCCCUCUUCUGGUGCGUCUGAAGAUAGCGUACAGUGUACUCAUAUACAUAUAAUAAAUAAAUAUUAAAGAACAUUGGCUGUUCUCCAGGUGAUCCACGUUCAAUUUCUAGUCCCUAUAUGGUAGUCCGUUCUAGCCCAGGGGAUCUCAGCUCCCCCUGCACCAUGCCUGCCUGAAUGCUGCCAUGUUUCUGCCUUGAUGACAAUGGACUGAACCUCUGAACCUGUAAGCCAGCCAAGAAUUAAAUGUUGUCUUUAUAAGAGUUGCCUUGGUUAUGGUGUCUCUUCACAGCAGUAAAACCCUAAGACAGAAGUUGCUACCAGGGACUGGGGUGUUGCUGCGAUAGACCUGACCAUGCUUUUGUUUGGAAGAAUGUUGAUUUGGGGGGGACUUUGGAUUUAGAAAGCCAUAGAAUGUUUUAAGUGGAGCUUAAUGAGCCAUCCUAGUAGGAAUAUGGAAGGCUUUGUUGUUGUGAGUUAUUUCAAUUGUGCAGACCUGGCCCAAGAGGUUUCAGUGGAGAACAACUUCAGUAUGUGGCCUAGAGACUAUUUUUGUAGUAUUUUAGUGACGAACAUGGCUACUUUUGGCCCUAGUCUGAGGAGUCUGCCUGAGGCUAAGGAGAAGAGACUCAGAUAAAUUGCACUGACAAAGGAAGUCUCAAAAAAGCCCAGCAGAGACUUUGUUCUCUGGUUACGUCUGAUAAAGAGCAUUUUGAACAAGCAUAGCAAGCUUAGAAAGGAAAAAUAUAUAAGGUAGAGUUUGAGUAUUAAAGGGGCACCAGGAAGUGAAAUAGAACUGAAUCCUGUGUUCAAGGGUAUUAAAUUGAAUUAACGGAGUGGUGACCUUGGGGCAAGAUCCUACCCAGCUAAAUUUAGAUCCAGGCUUGGUGCUACAUACUUUUAAUCCCAGGAGAUAAAGCCAAGCAGAUCUCUAAGUUCAAGGCCCAUCUGAGACAGACGGAGUUAUAGGUGAAGAAAAGCUUAAAUUCAGGCACAGUGGUACACACUUUGAUCCCAGUAGCCAAGCAUGCAGAUCUCUGAGUUCACGGUCAGUCUACAGAGCAAGAUCCAGGACAGCCAAGCUUAGGCAGUGAAGGAGUUGGAAAAGAGGAAGCUAGUGACUGAACAAGGGGGCCAUGUUCCAGCUCCAGCAAGCAGCAGAACACAGCAGUUUCAGCCAUGUGGCUCUGGCUUUAGAGCCAAGAAUAGAAGGGACUACAGGGACAGUUAAUGCUGGUUAACUGGAGCUAAGAAAUUAGUGGUGAUUAAGAAGAGAGCAGCAUCACUGUGAUGAAAUUUUCUGGGAAGUUAUUUUCUGAGAACACAAAGAAGCUGUGUUCCAGAGAUAGCCAAGGUUGUACCUCGUGCUGCAGCUGUACUUGGUAAUGUGUAAGAAUCACCCAGGUGGUACUGGGUUUGAAGGCAUGAAGUGGUCAUGAAGAGCAGAAGGCUUGGUACUGAGAGGCCAUGAAAGGCCGUCGGUGAAAGAAAGUGCAGCCUCAGUUGUAGUUGAUGGCCCAGGACUGAAGGGGUCAUGCAAAGGAGUUGAGGCUUGACACCAGGAAGAGAGCCUGAGAGAGGCUUUUGGUGAAGUAAGUCGAGUGUAUUAUAGAUGCCAGUACCGUGGGAUGAUCACCAAGAGCAGCAGUGGUAGUGGACUGGAUCAACCUGAGCUUAGAGGGCAGGGCUGCAGAGGUGACUCAGCUCUUUGGAGCCCUUUGGAGCCGCCCAGACCAUGUAUAGAUCCCCGACACUGAAACAAGAAGCUUUAAUAUUGAAGUUGCCUUGGAGAGCCCAAGAUGCUAAAGAUGCCCAAGUCGUAAGAUACCUGCAGAGGAGAGCUGCUGACAGGGAGUGGAACCAGCCCAGGGCAGAGAAGUUUGUUGCAGUCAACAAAGAUGAGAAAGGAGCUGGAGAUCUGAAGACGGCUGUGACGUCAGACAUGGAGACGCAGGGUUUGGAGUUUGCCCAGCUGGAUUCCUGUCUUGCUUUGGGGAUUGCAGUUAAAUGAUUGGAUGGAUCUCAGAAGAGAUCUUAAACUUUGGACUUUUAACAUUGUUGAGAGUGCUAUAGACUAUGGAAGUUGGACUAAAUGUAUUUUGUAUUAGACUGUGUUUAGGUAUGGCCCCCAUAGAUUCAUGUAUUUGAACAAGUCUAUAGAGGCCAGGGAGUAGAAUAUGAUGGUUUGUAUAUGCUUGGCCCAGGGUGUGACACUAUUAGGAGAUGUGGCCUUGUUGGAAUAGGUGUGUCAUUGUGGGUGUGAGCUUUAAUAAGCCUUGUCCUAGCUGCCUGGAAGCUGGUAUCUGCUAGCAGCCUUCAGAUGAACAAGUAGACCUCUCAGCUCCUCUUGUACCAUGCCUGCCUGGAUGCUGCCAUGCUCCUGCCUUGAUGAUAAUGGACUGAACCUCUGAACCUGUAAGGCAGCCUCAAUUAAAUGCUGUCCUUAUAAAA
ensembl:lncRNA